AAACAACGUUCUUGUGUCACCAAAAAUGAAUCGGUUUUGACAAAAAUGACAGCAUGUAUAAUAUAAAAAAAAUUCAUGUGAAAAUAAAAUGAGGCAAAAUUCAAUAUAAUGUGACUUUUACUAAACUUAUUUUUUAUAUAAAAGUAACAUUACUGUGAUAUGCCGGGGCCUGAUGUGAGAGCCAAUGAAAAUGUUCUCGGCGAGAUGUCGACAGAGCCCACGGCGACUGUGCAUAGUGGUGUGGAAGCUAAAGCUGAAAGAAAACUAACUGUACUUGAAUCGCACGGCUAUGUACUCGGUCGAUCUAUAGGUUCUGGCUCAUAUGCCACUGUCAAGCAUACGAAGAGGUUACGAUUUCCAUCAUUGAGGAACAGACUAGAGCGAGAAGAGGGGUGGAUAAAUCAAACGAAAAUUACACUUGCGGUUGCAACCAGCGACAGACACAACUGUCAAGUGGCCAUUAAAAUAAUAAGCAAGUUUCAAGCACCAGGCGACUAUCUAAAGAAGUUUCUGCCAAGAGAGAUAGAAGUUGUUAAAGGUCUCAAACAUGAGAAUUUAAUACGAUUUCUACAAGCUAUAGAAACUACUCAUAGGGUGUACAUUGUGAUGGAAUAUGCCGAAAACGGCAGCCUCCUAGACAUAAUUCGCAAAGACCAACACAUAGAUGAGGUUCGAGGCCGGCGCUGGUUUCGACAACUCGUUGAGGCUGUUGAAUAUUGCCACGAGCGAGGAGUUGUUCAUCGGGACAUCAAAUGCGAGAAUUUGCUUAUGGACCAUGGGUUGAAUAUAAAACUAUCGGAUUUCGGCUUCGCAAGAGGCCACAUGAAGCCAAAGAACGGGGUUUAUGCGUUGAGCGAAACUUUCUGCGGAAGCUACGCGUAUGCUUCUCCAGAAAUUUUAAAAGGGGUCCCGUAUAGGCCGCAGGAUUCUGAUAUUUGGAGUAUGGGAGUGGUGCUGUACGCUAUUGUGUAUGGAAGGCUACCUUUCGAUGACACCAAUUACACGCAGUUGUUAAAGCAAGUGCAAAACAAAGUGUCUUUCCCUCGUGAACCGAAAGUAUCAACUGACUGUCGCAAGUUAAUAACAAAAAUCUUAGCACCACUCAAGGUGCGCGUCAAGAUCCCACAGAUCCUGGCCGACACAUGGCUUAAUCCGAACCAACCUGCUAAGGACGAAGAGGUGGACACAACACAGUGAAGUUAUUUUUUCAGGAAACAUAAUACCUCUCUGCCUCCCCUAGGGGAAACAGGCGUGACCCUAAGAAAACGGGCAAGUCAGUAAAGAAGAAAUUAAGAGCGUGAACAUUGGCACCGUAACUUUUGACAGAAA